GAUGAAGACGCAGCGAAAUGCGAUAAGUAAUGCGAAUUGCAGAAUUUCCGUGAGUCAUCGAAUCUUUGAACGCACAUUGCGCCCGCCAGUAUUCUGGCGGGCAUGCCUGUUCGAGCGUCAUUUCAACCAUCAAGCCCCAGGCUUGUGUUGGGGACCUGCGGCUGCCGCAGGCCCUGAAAACCAGUGGCGGGCUCGCUGUCACACCGGGCGUAGUAGAUUUUAUCUCGCUCAGGGCGUGCUGCGGGUUCCGGCCGUUAAAAAGCCUUUUUUACCCAAGGUUGACCUCGGAUCAGGUAGGAAGACCCGCUGAACUUAAGCAUAUCAAUAAGCGGAGGA
rnacentral:misc_RNA from 1 species